CAGCAGCCACGGGAAUACGUAGGGUGCAAGCGUUAAUCGGAAUUACUGGGCGUAAAGCGUGCGCAGGCGGUUAUAUAAGACAGAUGUGAAAUCCCCGGGCUCAACCUGGGACCUGCAUUUGUGACUGUAUAGCUAGAGUACGGUAGAGGGGGAUGGAAUUCCGCGUGUAGCAGUGAAAUGCGUAGAUAUGCGGAGGAACACCGAUGGCGAAGGCAAUCCCCUGGACCUGUACUGACGCUUAUGCACGAAAGCGUGGGGAGCAAACAGGAUUAGAUACCCCAGUAGUCCCUGUCUCUUAUAA
rnacentral:rRNA from 1 species